rnacentral:rRNA from 1 species
CACGUAGGCACCAAGCGUUGUCCGGAUUUAUUGGGCGUAAAGAGCUCGUAGGCGGCUUGUCACGUCGGGUGUGAAAGCCCGGGGCUUAACCCCGGGUCUGCAUUCGAUACGGGCUAGCUAGAGUGUGGUAGGGGAGAUCGGAAUUCCUGGUGUAGCGGUGAAAUGCGCAGAUAUCAGGAGGAACACCGAUGGCGAAGGCAGGUCUCUGGGCUGACACUGACGCUCAUGCACGAAAGCGUGGGGAGCAAACAGG